rnacentral:siRNA from 1 species
UUUACUGGUGAUUGACAUGCU